AUUGAACGCUAGCGGCAGGCCUAAUACAUGCAAGUCGAACGGUGUCUUCGGACAUAGUGGCGCACGGGUGCGUAACACGUAUGCAACCUACCUUACAUUGGGGGAUAGCCUUUCGAAAGGGAGAUUAAUACCGCAUAAGACAGUAGCUGGGCAUCCAGCAGCUGUUAAAGAUUUAUCGAUGUAAGCUGGGCAUGCGUCCAAUUAGCUAGUUGGUGAGGUAACGGCUCACCAAGGCAAUGAUUGGUAGGGGAACUGAGAGGUCAAUCCCCCACACUGGCACUGGGAUACGGGCCAGACUCCUACGGGAGGCAGCAGUAGGGAAUAUUGGGCAAUGGACGCAAGUCUGACCCAGCCAUGCCGCGUGCAGGAUGAAGGCGUUAUGCGUUGUAAACUGCUUUUAUACAGGAAGAAACGACUCUUGCGAGAGGCAUUGACGGUACUGUAUGAAUAAGCACCGGCUAACUCCGUGCCAGCAGCCGCCGUAACAC
rnacentral:rRNA from 1 species